CGUCUGUGUUUUAUAAAGCGAUAGUUGCGUGAAGAUGUAGGCCACGGCGUACACGCAGUUUUAUUAACCUCGGUUUUUGUUUUCAGCGUUCUGGCGUCGUGCGCUAUUAGCUACUGUAACUUAUGUUUCUACUCAAAUUAAACGAAACUCUUGGAAACUAACAUUGUUUACCUGCAAACAUUUAACGGAAAACAUGUGAGGAGGGAUGUUCAGUCGACAUUGAUGUUCCUCAGAAAAUUUACCAUCAAGGUCUAUUGCAAAUUCUUACCAAAUAUUGCCUUCCACACCAUCGUCCUGUCGACAAAUGAGGUCUACAAAUGUUUGUCAAGCCAAGCGAUAUAAUUCUGCACUGCAUUCACUCCCACAGAGAAGUAGCAGGGCCAGAAAGCAAAGCUUACACAGCCAUGAAAUCCAUCUUGAUAAUGGUCAUUAGUGACAGAGACGCCUGCCAGCUCCAACCUGCGGGCGUACAUCAUCCCAUCAUCCCUCAAAACAUCAUGCUCACCAGUCAUAAUAUAAGCACGUGGCGCCAUACGCAAAACCUCAUCCUCCGCAAGUAACGGAGAGGCUCUGGAAUCCAGUAAACCUGGAACAUCACUUAAGAUAUUGGGAGAUCCAGUCACUGGAAAAACAGGUUUAAAAUGUUUUCUUAUUUCUUUUGGUAGAAGAUUGGUCCAGUCCAGCUUUGCACGAUUCUGGGACAACAGAUUUUGGUCUUGGGCUGUGUGGUUGUUCAUCAUAAUAGAGUGUGCAAGUUCAGGGUCAGCGCCCAGGUACUCCAACCAGAAACGAGCCAUUAGUCUGCGGUAUAGGAUGGGGACAUUAUGGUUCUGCUGAUAGGAAGCUGUGUUGAAGUCGAGUGCCUGAAGGACUGGGUAAAUCAACACCUGCAGCUUGAAUUUUGCUGAGAGAAUCAUCACUUGCGUGUGCAACAAACCAGAGGUAUGACAACAGAGGAAGUACCAUUUUUUAAAAAGAGGUGCUCCCGGCAACCCGAGUUCGAUUCUUGGCUUGAGGUUCCUUGCCAUUUCUUGUUCCUCUCUCCCUGCUCCCAGUGCAUUCAUAUCUUCAGUCUCCACUGUCCUCUCAAUUAAAGGUGAAAAACCACAUGGCGAGCAAGAACAGAAUCAGCUGUAUGUCCUACAUGUUGUUUACAGGGCUGUUUGCAUGUUAUGGUAUGCUUAUUAAUCACAAUUUCAGCAGUACUCUACGCCUACCACAAGGGUGCUGCUGGCAGUGGAAACACAUGUCUGAUCAGAAUGAUACCAUAUUGCACUGCACUGAACCAUACUGUUCAGUGAAAAGGCAUUAAACACACCGCCACUGGACGUGUUGUCUGGACUGACAAAUCUUGCUUAUCUGUCUUGCAAUUUGAUGGACGAGGCUGAGUUUGCUGGUUCCCAGGAGAACGAUUAUUGCUUGCCUGCCAAAUGUAAGGUUUGAUGGAGGGGAUUAUGGUGUGGGGCUGUAUUUUAUGGGAUCCUUAGUUCCAGUGAAAGAAACUUUUAAUGCUUCAUCAUACCAAGACAUUCUGGCUAACUUAUGACCAUUAUAAAGUGUUUUAUCAGAUGCUAAAGAGAAGCAUCCAAUAUUGGGAAAUUUACGUGUGAAUGAAACCACGAUCAACCUUGAAUAACAAUGAAUUAUUUGUAGUGUUGGUC
rnacentral:lncRNA from 1 species